UUGUAUUCAAAUAUGCAUAUUACACAAAGAUGCAUUACACAUAUUGCAAGAGACAUUCACACAUAUUUUUGGUUGGUGAUUUAGCCUGAAUUUGCUAACAAUGGCAUGGUGUCUACUUUGAUUUUGUUUAGCUGGAAUAAUCAAGUAUUAGUCCAUUCUUUCACUGCUAUUAAAUACCUGAGACUGGGUAGUUUAUAGGGAAAAGAAGAUUAAUUGGCUGAAGGUUCUGCAGACUGUAUGAGAAGCAUAGUGGCUUCUGAGAAAACCUCAGGAAAGUUAGAAUCAUGGUGGUGUAGGAGGACUAGCCACAGACAAAACCACUCAGACACCGGGUUAAGAAGGAAGUGGCUUUAUUUGGCCAGGAGCAUCAGCAGACUUGCAUGUCAAGAACUGAGCUCUCUGAAGAAAGAGUUCCUGGCCCUUUUAAGAACUUACAACUCUAAGGGGUUCACGUGAAAGGGUUGUGAUAGAUUGACAUUCAGAGAUAGCAUAUGUGAUUAGAGGGGGGCUAAUCUUUAACCUCUCUCUUCAUUCCCCCAUUUGAGAACCUUACUCACUAGUGGGAGGUCUCACUCUCAUCUUCACUACCCAGGUCUUUCUGCAAGACAGAUCGACAGUGAUUCAUGUAAUACACUUGUGUAUUACAAGACAUUCAUGUAAUACAUUUGUGCUGAAGUUUUCUGAUGAACCAAGGUAGUAACAAAACUUCUUAGAAGUUGGAGAAAUAUGGGUAACAAACAAAGGAGCAAUAGGAGGGUUGCAGCUGGAGAUCUGGGGAGGAGCUGGUGUUUUUUAGUUUGAGGGUCAUGCAGCUAUAGACCCUGGGAGGAGCAGGAGUUUCUUUAGUUUGAGGGUUGGGCAGCUGCAGAACCCGGGAGAAUCUGAUGUUCUGGUUUGAGGGUCCUGCAGCUGGAGACCCAGAGAGCAGCUGGUGUUUCUUUAGUUUGAUGGCCGUGCAGCUGUAGAACCCAGGGGGAGCUGGUAUUUUUCUAGUAUGAGUGUCCUGCAGCUGGAGACCUGGAGAAGAGCUGAUGUUCUAGUUUGAGGGUCGUGCCGCUGAAGACUCAGGGAGAAGCUGAUGUUCUCGUUUGAGGAUACUGCAGCUGGAGACCUGGAGAGGAGCUGAUGUUAUUCUAGUUUGAGGAUCAUGGAGCUUGAGAUCCACAGAGGAGCAGGUAUUGUUCUAGAUUGAGGUUCAUGUAGCUGAAGACCUGGGGAGCAGCGGGUGUUUUUUAGUUUGAGGGUCAUGCAACUGAAGACCCGGGGAGGAGCUGAUGUUGUUCUAGUUUGAGGUUCAUGCAGCUGGAGACCUGGGGAGCAGCGGGUGUUUUUUAGUUUGAGGGUCAUGCAGCUGUAGAACCCGGGAGGAGCUGGCGUUUUUCUAAUAUGAGUAUCCUGCAGCUGGAGACCAGGAGAGUUGCUGAUGUUCUAGUCUGAAGGUCGUGCAGCUGAAGACGGGGGAGGGUUCUAGUUUGAGUGCCCUGCAGCUGAAGACUCGGGAAGGAGCUGAUGUUGUCCUUGUUUUACGAUCUUUCAGCUGGAGACUCAAAGAGGAGCUGAUGUUGUUCUAAUUUGAGUGUAAUGGAGCUGGAGACCCGGGGUGGAGCUGAUGUUGUUCUAGUUUGAGUGUUGUGCAGCUGGAGAUCCAAGAAGGAGGUGGUCUUGUGGUUCAAAUCUGAGGGUCCUGGAGCUGGAAUCUAUGGGAGGAGUCAAUGCUGCCACUGAUGUCUUAGAUUGUGCAGCAGAAGACCCACAGAGGAGCCGGUGUUGGUGUUCUAGUGUGAGGGUGUGGAUCUGGAGAUCCAUGGGGGAGUGACGUUCUUCUAGUUUUUGGGUUGUGGUGCUGGAGACCCAGGGAGGAGCUCAUGGUGUUCUAGUUGAGGGUCGUGGUGCUGGAGACCCAGGGAGGAGUCGAUCCUUCUGUUGUUUAAGUCUGAAGGUCAUCGAGCUGGAGAUCCGGGGAAGAGCUGGUGCUGCGGUUCAAGUCUGAGGGUCCUGGAGCUUGAGACCCCAGGAGGAGAUGGUGCUGCCACGAAUGUCUUAGGUUGUAAAGCUGGAGACCUGCGAAGGAGCCGGUGUUGCUGUUUUAGUGUGAGGUUUGUGGAGCUGGAGUCCCAGGGGGAAAAUGGUGUUUUUCUGGCUUAAGGGUCAUGCAGCUGACCCUCAGAUGACCUCAAACUAUAACAACACUGCUCCACCCUGGAUCUCCAGCUCCAAAAUCCUCACAAUAGAAAAACAUCUGCUCCUCCCUGAGUGUCCAGCUCCACGAUGCUCAAACUAGAUUAAAAUCAGCUCCUUCCCAGGUGUCCAGCUGCAUGACCCUCAAACUAGAAACACCCGGGGAGGUUUUAUUAGUUUGCUGCUGUUUUUCUAGAUUGAGGGUCAUGCAGCUGGAGACGUGGGGAGGAGCUGAUGUUGUUCGAGUUUGAGGGUCAUGGAGCUUGGAGACCCAGGCAGGAGCUGGUGUUUUUCUAGUUUGAGGGUUGUGCAGCUGGAGACCCAGGGAGAAGCUGAUGUUGCUCUUAUUUGAGAGCUGUGGAGCUGGAGACCUGGAGAGGAGCUGAUGGUGUUCUAGUUUGAUGGUUGCAGAGCUGGAGACCCAGGGAGGAGCUGUUGUUUUUCUAGUUUGAGUUUCGUGCAGCUGAAGACCAUUGGAGGAGCUGAUGUUCUAGUUUGAGGGUUGUGCAGCUGGAGAUACAGGGAGAAGGUGGUCUUGCAGUUUAAAUGUGAGGGUCUUGGAGCUGGAAUCCAUGGGAGGAGCCAAUGCUGCCACUGAUGUCUUAGGUUGUGGAGCUGAAGACCCGCAGAGGAGCCAGUGUUGGUGUUCCAGUGUGAGGUUCGUGGAUCUGGAGACCCACGGAGGAGCAGGUGUUGGUGUUCUAGUGUGAGGGUCAUGGAUCUGGAGAUCCAUGGGGGAGUGGUGUUCUUCUAGUUUGUGGGUUGUGGUGCUGGAGACCCAGGGAGGAGCUGAUUCUUUUGUUGUUUAAGUCUGAAGGUCGUCAAGCUGGAGAUCCGGGGAAGAGCUGGUGCUGCGAUUCAAGUCUGAGGGUCCUGGAGCUUGAGACCCCAGGAGGAGAUGGUGCUGCCACUAAUGUCUUAGAUUGUAAAGCUGGAGAUCUGUGGAGGAGCUGGUGUUUCUGUUCUAGUGUAAGGUUUGUGGAUCUGGAGUCCCAGGGGUGAGCAGUGUUGUUUUAGUUUGAGGGUCAUGGAGUUAGAGACCCGGGGAGGAGCUGAUGUUGUAGUUUGAGGGUCGUGCAGCUGGAGACCCAGGGAGGAGCUGGUGUGUUUCUAGUUGGAGGGUUGUGGAGCUGGAGAUUCAC
rnacentral:lncRNA from 10 species